CCUACGGGAGGCUGCAGUAAGGGAUAUUGGUCAAUGGGGGAAACCCUGAAGGAGCAACGCCGCGUGAGGGAAGGCGGUUUUCGGAUUGUAAACCUCUGUCCUCUGUGAAGAUGAUGAAGAUGGCAGAGGAGGAAGCGCCGGCUAACUACGUGUCAGCAGCAGCGGUAAUACGUAGGGAGCGAGCGUUGGCCGGAUUUACUGGGUGUAAGGGGUGCGUAGGCGGGUUGGCAAGUCAGUAGUGAAAUCCAUGGGCUUAACCCAUGGACUGCUAUUGAAACUGGCGGGCUUGAGUGAAGUAGAGGUAGGCGGAAUUCCCGGUGUAGCGGUGAAAUGCGUAGAGAUCGGGAGGAACACCAGUGGCGAAGGCGGCCUACUGGACUUUAACUGACGCUGAGGCACGAAAGCAUGGGUAGCGAACAGGAUUAGAUACCCCGGUAGUC
rnacentral:rRNA from 1 species